rnacentral:rRNA from 1 species
UACGGGGGGGGGCAAGCGUUGUUCGGAAUUACUGGGCGUAAAGGGCUCGUAGGCGGCCAACUAAGUCAGACGUGAAAUCCCUCGGCUUAACCGGGGAACUGCGUCUGAUACUGGAUGGCUUGAGGUUGGGAGAGGGAUGCGGAAUUCCAGGUGUAGCGGUGAAAUGCGUAGAUAUCGAGAGGAACACCUGCGGCGAAGGCGGGUUGCUGGGCCGACACUGACGCUGGAUGCGCGAAAGCCAGGGGAGCAAACGGG